rnacentral:rRNA from 1 species
UACAGAGGUCUCAAGCGUUGUUCGGAUUCAUUGGGCGUAAAGGGCGCGUAGGCGGCCCGCUAAGUCGAACGUGAAAUCCCCGGGCUCAACCCGGGAACUGCGUCCGAUACUGGUGGGCUUGAAUCCGGGAGAGGGAUGCGGAAUUCCAGGUGUAGCGGUGAAAUGCGUAGAUAUCUGGAGGAACACCGGUGGCGAAGGCGGCAUCCUGGACCGGUAUUGACGCUGAGGCGCGAAAGCCAGGGGAGCAAACGGG